CCAACGCCUCACUACUCAUCUCUGUCUAAGACCUCAUCAGAAUGGCCUUCACUGUCCAUAUUUCUACAAACACUUUGUUCACAGAAAUUGAGGCUUUUUUCCAGUCUUCACUACCAAACGUGCUCUUGAACUUAGGUUUAGGGUUAAAAUCUAGUUAUUAUAAUUAGUAUUUCCACCAUACAAAUACAAUAGGCAUACCUAAUCUAAAAGCAUAGAUAAUGGUAAAAGAAGUGGGAAGUGAGUCUUGAUUAUUUAUUGCCUUUAUUUUAACAUAAUUAAUUUAACUGUAAUGAA
rnacentral:lncRNA from 1 species